GAUCGAGGAAAGCUUGCCCCAAACUGGGAAGGCCCGUAUGAGGUCAAAGAAGUAGUCCGACCCGAAACUUAUUACCUCAAGGAGCUCGGAGAAGCAGACCUCCCGUGACCAUGGAGCUCGAAAAACUUACGAAUAUAUUAUCGAUAACUUUAUUUUAAAUAAAAGUUGCAUAUCUACAUGUCUCCCCUCUUGGCACUAGCUUAUAUUGACAGGGCAGUCAAAACAAACUGUGUCGGAAGC
rnacentral:lncRNA from 1 species